GCACUGCUGAGGAGUCCCAUAACAGGAGAAAACGGCCGUUCAGUGC
rnacentral:hammerhead_ribozyme from 1 species